AUUGAACGCUGGCGGUAUGCUUAACACAUGCAAGUCGAACGCUGAUAAGGUGCUUGCACCUUUGAUGAGUGGCGGACGGGUGAGUAAUGCAUAGGAAUCUGCCUAUUAGUGGGGGACAACGUGGGGAAACUCACGCUAAUACCGCAUACGAUCUACGGAUGAAAGCUGGGGGACCUUCGGGCCUGGCGCCAAUAGAUGAGCCUAUGUCGGAUUAGCUAGUUGGUGGGGUAAAGGCCUACCAAGGCGACGAUCCGUAGCUGGUCUGAGAGGAUGAUCAGCCACACUGGGACUGAGACACGGCCCAGACUCCUACGGGAGGCAGCAGUGGGGAAUAUUGGACAAUGGGCGCAAGCCUGAUCCAGCAAUGCCGCGUGUGUGAAGAAGGCCUGCGGGUUGUAAAGCACUUUCAGUGGGGAAGAACAGAUUCGGGUCAAUACCCGGAGCCCUGACGUUACCCACAGAAGAAGCACCGGCUAACUCCGUG
rnacentral:rRNA from 1 species